rnacentral:rRNA from 1 species
CAGCCGCCGCGGGAAAACGGAGGGUGCAAGCGUUAAUCGGAAUUACUGGGCGUAAAGCGUGCGUAGGCGGUUCGUUAAGUCUGUUGUGAAAGCCCCGGGCUCAACCUGGGAAUGGCAAUGGAUACUGGCGAGCUAGAGUGUGUCAGAGGAUGGUGGAAUUCCCGGUGUAGCGGUGAAAUGCGUAGAGAUCGGGAGGAACAUCAGUGGCGAAGGCGGCCAUCUGGGACAACACUGACGCUGAGGCACGAAAGCGUGGGGAGCAAACAGGAUUAGAGACCCCGGUAGUCCCUGUCUCUUAUAC